AUGGCCGCGGUGGAGAGCAAGAGCCGGAGGUUCGCGCUGGCGUGCGGCGUCCUCAGCCAGUACGUCAAGGCGGAGCAGAAGAUGUCCUCCGCCGUCGCCGUCGCCCCGCGCGCGCCCCCGGCCACCACGCUCAGCCUCAUGCCCGGCGCCGACGUCGACCAAGCCGCCGCGGCCGCUGAUGAGGCGGGGCCUGCCACGGCCACGCCCCUGACCAUCUUCUACGGCGGCAGGGUGGUCGUCUUCGAGGACUUCCCCGCGGACAAGGCGGCCGAGGUCAUGCGCAUGGCCGCCACCGCCGGCGUCGAGCGCGCGGCCGUCACCCCGGCCCCGGCCCAAGCGGCGCUCGCGGACCUGCCCAUCAUGCGCAAGGCGUCGCUGCAGAGGUUCUUCGAGAAGCGCAAGGACCGCCUCGGCGCGCGCGCGCCCUACGCCCGGCCCGCCGCGCCGGCGGCCAACAAGGAGUCGGAGGACAAGUCGGCGUCGGCGUCGGCGUCGUCCUCCUCGUGGCUCGGGCUGGCCAGCACCGAUGGCGCCUUCGCCCUGUGA
rnacentral:rRNA from 1 species